rnacentral:rRNA from 1 species
UACGAAGGGGGCUAGCGUUGCUCGGAAUCACUGGGCGUAAAGGGUGCGUAGGCGGGUCUUUAAGUCGGGUGUGAAAGCCCCGGGCUCAACCUGGGAAUUGCAUUCGAGACUGAAUAGCUAGGGUACGGUAGAGGGGAGCGGAAUUUCCGGUGUAGCGGUGAAAUGCGUAGAUAUCGGAAGGAACACCAGUGGCGAAAGCGGCUUCCUGGACCAGUACCGACGUUCAGGCACGAAAGCGUGGGGAGCAAAAGGG